UCACCUCCUAGCAACCUUCAUACACACAAAAAAUGUACUCCUGGAAGGAACAAGUAGAGAUUACUUCAUGCUGAGAGUUAUCUCCCAGGGCACCCCCAUUGUAAUACAAUUUCACCUUCAUUCCUUCUCCUUUUUUUUUCCCAUGUAGGUAAUUCAUCACAAGGAAAUUCUCUGGGCCUAUCCACUGGAACCAUUGUUGGCAUCAUGAUUGGAGUCCUGGCCACGGUGGCUUUGAUGUAGCAUCCCUGGUGUAUUUUCUGUACUGCAGGAAGCCUUGCAGGAUACAUUUGAAAAUAUUGGUUUAAGGCACCAAGACUUUGACUGGGAUGUCGUAACUAGAAUGUGCCUAGAAUGCACCCAUAGGCGCUGCACGCAAAGUCUAAAGUCUGCCUAGUUUGGCUUCCUAGUCUUCAUAGGAUUUUCAAAAGUUUACUCUGAGACAUCUAUCAAAAGUUCCAGCGAAGCAAACUUGAAAAGAACCUAUAUGCCAUCCUUCAAAGAUCAAGUGUUCUCUCUUCGGCCGGAACAACAGAAACUCAAGGAAAUGUGUGACUGGGAGGACACCAUAACCGACCAAGGAUGCCUUGUUACUGGGAUCCCAAAGUGAGGACAACUGAGAGUAGCCCCACUGCCUUAUGUUUUGGUCACACUCUCUCCUCCGUGAGAGCCUACUGGCUCCAAAACAGAGUCACUCAUGCUAAAUGCCACGUACUCAAACUGAAACUCAAGGAAACAGAAAGAACCAAAAACAGAGAGCAGUUUUUCCUAAAAAGAGGAGAUUCCAGUCUGAAUCAGCAUAAUCGGGCAGAUCCCUUUGCUUUCACUCUUACCAAUAAGGAACCUGAAGUAACUUGAUUUUAACAAUGAGUUUUCUCUUGUUCUGUUUCUUCCCUCUCAGUUCAUAAAACCUGCUGUUCUGCUAUUGUGUUCUCCAGUGGGAGCUAUGAUUGUAACUUCUGCAAUAGAAGCUGCCCCACUCAUGAAUCACAACUAAAAGCCAAUCACCUUGAUAAUUAAAAUUGUUGCAAUUUUUUCUUUAGACACAUCUUCAAAGCCAGUGAAGGCUAGUGGAGUCCUUGUCACUUCACAUGAUCCUGACCCUGGCUCUCCUACCUCCCUCUUUCACUUACCAGUAUCCUUCUGAUUUCAGGGGGUCACCCAGACAAUCCAGAAUCAUCUUCCCAUCUCAGGAUCCUUAAGUUCAUCACAUCUGUAAAAUUGUUUUUACCAAAUAAAGUAACAUCCAAGGACGUGGAUGUUUGCAAAUGCAGACCUGAUUGGUGCAAAGCAGGAGCACGAACCUGCUGGAAUCUGGCCUCACGGACCUCAUGUGUUGGGCAGAUGGGAUAGGAAUAUGACAAGUCAAAUUUC